rnacentral:rRNA from 1 species
UUUUGUGGAGAGUUUGAUCCUGGCUCAGGACGAACGCUGGCGGCGUGCUUAACACAUGCAAGUCGAACGAUGAAGCCUGCAACUUGUUGUGGGUGGAUUAGUGGCGAACGGGUGAGUAAUACGUGGGUAACCUGCCCUCCUUUUUGGG